UUGGAAAUAGUUUAUUUAGAACACUAGCUUUGGGAGUUAAAAGAGCUGUUUUGUCAGUUUUCCA
rnacentral:tRNA from 1 species